rnacentral:lncRNA from 1 species
UGCAGCUUAAAUCUGGACGACUUUGAUUUUCAACUAAAUAUAUACAUACUAACUUCUAUGUCAUUUCGUCUCUGGUGAAGUGUUGUGUCUUUGACAAUUUUACGGCAUCUUCUUCUUCUCUGAAAGUUACACCUUAAAUCUGAAUAGGGGUUAAUGAGAGGAAAGGGUUACGAGGACAGCGGAUAGGGCAAAGUCCAUGCGAUGCCACAUAAACCCUUGAACGACAUUGUUACAAUAGAUCCUGGAACUGGAAUUGCAAAAUUAAGUCAUGUGAUUAAGAUUCCGAGGUUUCAGAAAACAUAUGAUUCAAAAGCAGUUGCUGAUAAGUUUGACAGACGGACGCAAGAACAAAAAACAAACGAUCGGAAUGAUUAACAGACUAACUCAAAAUCACUUUUUAUAAAUCCAUAGGGC